GGCAAGUCGGUGAAGGUGUGGCAC
rnacentral:siRNA from 1 species